rnacentral:rRNA from 1 species
GAGUUUGAUCUUAGCUCAGAUUGAACGCUGGCGGCACGCCUAACACAUGCAAGUCGAGCGGUAACAUGGUGUGUAGCAAUACACAUUGAUGACGAGCGGCGGACGGGUGAGGAACACGUAGGAACUUACCUUUUAGAGGGGGAUAACUAAGGGAAACUUUAGCUAAUACCGCGUAAUGUCGAAAGACCAAAGCUGCCGCAAGGUGGCGCUAAAAGAGAGGCCUGCGUCCGAUUAGCUAGUUGGUGGGGUAAAGGCCUACCAAGGCGAUGAUCGGUAACUGGUCUGAGAGGACGACCAGUCACAUUGGGACUGAGACACGGCCCAAACUCCUACGGGAGGCAGCAGUGGGGAAUCUUGGACAAUGGGGGCAACCCUGAUCCAGCGAUGCCGCGUGGGUGAAGAAGGCCUUCGGUUGUAAG